UACAGAGGUCCCAAGCGUUGUUCGGAUUCAUUGGGUUUAAAGGGCGCGUAGGCGGCAAUUCAAGUCAUCUGUGAAAUCUCCGGGCUUAACUCGGAACGGUCAGAUGAUACUGCUUUGCUAGAGUGCGGAAGGGGCAAUCGGAAUUCUUGGUGUAGCGGUGAAAUGCGUAGAUAUCAAGAGGAACACCUGAGGUGAAGACGGGUUGCUGGGCCGACACUGACGCUGAGUGCGCGAAAGCCAGGGGAGCAAACGGG
rnacentral:rRNA from 1 species